GGGACAAUAAGGACCACGGGAAAUAAGCGGUUAUAAAGUCUCAGGGUAGUGAGCAAGUAAAGUUCGUGGUAACAGUGAACCAAAAGUAAAGUUUGUGGUAACAGCGAACCGAAAGUAAAGUUCACAGUAGCAGUGAACCGAAAGUAGCAAGACGCACGGUGAAUUUAGCUGUAGCAGCAUAGAAAGUUUUUGUCACGCGGACCUCACAGUCUCGUCCAAUUUUUCUGGCUCAAGAGCUGUUUGAGCGAAAGAAACUAAAAAUAAAAAGAAGCAUCACAGAGUUUUUUGAGUGAAUGUGAUGCCAUUGCACCCUGGUUCGCAGCCUCUGGAAAUCGCACGGUGGCGAGCUGGGACAAGUUAGGGAAAGACCUUAAUUUUGCCCGGGAACAGGGGACUCUAAGACCUGGGGUCCGUACAGUAUGGCGCUUAGUGGGUAGCUGCCUUGAGGAUCAGAAAUGUUGUCAGGCAGCUAUAGAGAGGGGGCAAGCUGCCCUAGAAAUGCUUCAAGAGGAGAGGUCAGAAAAGCAGGGAAGCGCAAAGGAGUCAGACUCAGAAAAAACAGAUACAGAGAAGGAAACAGACAAAACAGAUUCAGAAGAAGAGUUACAAGAGUUGAUAGAUCAAAUGCGGAAACAGUCUCUAAGGAAUAGACAGAAGAAGAAAAGGAAAAAGCCUAAAAUGGUGGAGGAACCUCCUGGGCGGUUCCCCUCAGCUCCUCCUCCCUGCAAUGUUGUAGAGGAAGGAAGUAGAGUUUCGGAUAGUACAUUCUGCCCAGAAGUGUGGAAGGCAGUCCUCACAGAACUACAUCUGGCCUAUCCUGUUUAUGUGGAUGCUAAUCAACAAAGGUUUCAUGAGUCUUUAGACUUUAAGGUGAUCAAGUCCCUGGCGGAAUCAGUCAGGACAUAUGGCAUUACGGCCUCAUUUACCGUAGCUCAGGUUGAGGCCUUACACAGAUUUUGCAUGACUCCUAGUGAUUGGACUAACCUUGCUCGGGCCUGUCUUAGUCCGCGACAGUAUUUGGACUGGAAAGCUUUUCUUAUUGAGUUUGCCAGUGAACAGGCUGCCGCUAAUUUGGCAGCGGGGGGCGGCCAGGCUGCCUGGGAUAGGGAUAUGCUGCUGGGUCAGGGACACUUUGCCAAUGCUCAGACAGGGUAUCCAGGACAGGUUCACCAGCAAAUUAAUGAAGUUGCAACAAAGGCAUGGAAAUCCUUACCUAAUAAGGGAGAAGUGAGUGGAAACCUCACCAAGAUCCUUCAAGGACCUAUGGAGUCAUUCUCUGACUUUGUAGCCCUAUUAGUAGAAGCAGCGGGGAAAGUCUUUGGAGACCCCAAUACUGCUAUGCCCUUGAUUAAACAGUUGGCCUAUGAACAGUGCACAAGGGAAUGCCGAGCCGCUAUCACUCCUUACAAGAACAAGGGACUUGAAGCUUGGAUGAAGGUCUGUAGAGAAAUAGGGGGACCUUUGACUACUGCUGGACUUGCAGCUGUUGCUAUGCAGAUGACGCAGAGAAAAGGAGGAAGCUCAGGAGCAUGUUUUAAAUAUGGUAAACAGGGGUACCUAAAAAGGCAAUGUCCAGAAAGGGGAAGUCUAGUUAGUACAGGAAGUGGCCAAUGCCCAAGGCAACCAGGGCUGUGCCCCAAGUGCAAAAAGGGGAAUCAUUGGGCUAAUGAGUGCCGCUCGGUAAAAGACAUCAAUGGGCAGACUCUCAGCUCGGGCUUUGGUGGAGCACGUCCAAAAAACGGACAGCGGGGCCCCCAACCCCAGGGCCCACAAAUAUAUGGGGCAGUCGAGAAUCAGAUGUAGAACAGAGUCACGAGAGAUGGCCGUCCCUUUGCCAUCCGAGGGGCCAAGGAGAGCCACUAAGGGCUCUGCAGGACUGGACCUCCGCUCCACCACCAGACUCGUACUAACUCCUCGGAUGGGGGUCGAGUUGAUAGAAACUGAUUUUAAAGGACCCCUUGAGCCUGGCACUGUAGGGUUACUUAUAGGGAGAUCAUCUACAGCUUUAAGAGGACUACAUGUCCAUCCAGGAGUUAUUGACCCAGAUUAUACCGGGGUUGUCAAGAUCAUGGUAGAAUCACCAAAAGGAAUUACUGCUAUUUCCUCUGGAGAUAGAAUAGCUCAGUUGUUACUUUUGCCUAGCCUUCAUGAAAGAUUUGCCGCCCAGUCUAGAGAGAGGGGAGAGAAGGGUUUUGGUUCCACAGGCUCCGAUCUUAUAUUUUAGCUUUGGGUUUAAACCAACGCCCAGUAAUGGAGCUAAGGAUAGAUGGUAAAAGGAUCCUAGGACUGUUGGAUACAGGGGCUGAUAGAAGUAUAAUAGCUAAGAAAGAUUGGCCCUCUGGAUGGCCAGUACAGGCCUCAUCUCAAACAUUACAAGGUCUCGGUUAUGCAAGAGCUCCUGAUAUGAGUACAAGACAAUUGAGUUGGAGAGAUCAAGAAGGGCAUUCAGGAGUUAUGUAACCCUAUGUGUUGGAUUUGCCCAUUUCCCUUUGGGGAAGGGAUCUGUUGAAAGACAUGGGUUUCAAAUUGAUCAAUGAUUAUUCUGAAACUUCACAAAAGAUUAUGAAAAAUAUGGGUUAUUUUCCUGGUAAAGGAAUAGGGAAAUACCUACAGGGUAGGACUAGCCCUAUAACUGCCCAACAGAGAGAAGGGAAUCAGGACCUGGGUUUUUCCUAGGGGCUGCUGAGGAAGGCAUUCCUGUUACCUGGAAAACAGAGGAGUCGGUGUGGUUCCUCAGUGGCUGCUUUCCUCUGAGAAGCUUGCCACAGCUAAAGACCUGGUAAAUGAACAGCUGGCUAUGAAGCAUAUAAAACCAUCAGUGUCACUUUGGAAUGUCCCAAUAUUUGUGAUUAAAAAGAAGUCAAGGAAAUGGAGACUGUUGCAUGAUUUACGAGUUAUUAAUCAACAGAUGCAAAUCAUGGGCCCAGUGCAACGCAGACUUCCUCUUUGAUCCUCUCUACCAGCCUGUUGGCCUGUUGUAGUGAUUGAUAUAAAAGAUUGCUUUUUCUCCAUACCUCUUUGUCAAAGGGAUAGUGAAAGAUUUGCUUUUACUGUUCCGUCAUGCAAUCAUGAAGAACCUGAUCAAAGAUAUGAAUGGGUGGUUUUACCACAAGGUAUGGCCAAUAGCCCUACUAUGUGUCAACUUUUUGUGGGCAACGCCAUCGCCCCAUUAAGACAGAAGUUUCCCGCAGUGAGAUGCAUACAUUUUAUGGAUGAUAUCCUUUUAACUGCAAAGAAUGAAGAGAUUUUAGAUUUAUCAUAUGGAGAUUUAGUUAAAUUGCUAGAAGGUAAAGGAUUGAUUAUUUCCCCUGAAAAGGUACAAAAGGGCAAUCUUGUAAAUUAUUUAGGAACAAAAGUAAGCCCUUAUAUCAUUAUCCCCCAAAAGGUUGAAUUGAGGAAAGAUAACCUUAAGACUCUUAAUGAUUUUCAAAAAUUAUUGGGAGAUAUUAAUUGGGUCAGAUGUUAUUUAAAAUUACCAAAUUAUGAAUUAAAACCAUUGUAUAAUAUUUUGGCUGAGAAUUUGGUCUUGGAUUCUCCUAGACAAUUGAGUGAUGAAGCAAGGGAAGCUUUAAAGAAGGUUGAAAAAGGAUUACAAGGCGCAAUGUUACAUCAGUGGAAGGAGGGUGCUGACAUUGUGCUAUGCAUUCUAGCCACCUACAUGCAGCCCACAGGAUUGUUGUGGCAAGAUGGCCCUCUGCUUUGGGUUUAUCCCAGAGCUUCUCCAGCUAGAUCAGUAGAGUAUUAUCCUACAGCAGUUGCACAAUUAGCCCUGAAUGGUAUUCAACAGUGCAUACAAUAUUUUGGUGUUUCCCCAACCUCGAUCAUACUGCCCUAUACAGGUCAGCAGAUGAAGAUCUUAUGUGGCACUGUGGAUGAUUGGGCUAUAUUACGCUGUGGAUUCCAUGGAGAGAUAGAUAGUCAUUAUCCAAAACACCCUCUGCUAUCCUUCUUUAAGGAACAUCCCGUGAUUUUUCCUAAGGUUACCUCCAGUGUUCCCAUACAGGGGGCCCCAAACAUUUUUACAGAUGGAUCCAAAAAUGGCUGUGGAGCCUAUAUGGUUGACCAUCAAGAGCCAAUUUUGUGUCAAUAUCAACCUGGCUCUCCACAAGUAAUUGAACUCAAAAUUGUGCUGGAAGUGUUUAAAAAUUGUUCUUUUGCCUUUAAUUUGCUCUCUGAUCCAUCAUAUGUUGUUAAUGCAGUUAAGAUACUAGAAGUGGCUGGCCCUAUUAAAAUUAGCAGCACGGUAUGCCAGCUGCUGAGGGAACUUCAGGAAUUGAUCUGGAAAAGAAGUCACAAGUUUUUUGUCCAACAUAUUAGAGCUCAUACAGAUUUGCCUGGUCCUCUCAGUGAGGGAAAUGAUCUUGUGGAUAGAUGUACCCGAAUGGAGUUUAUCUUCUUAAGCUCAUCAUUGGAUCAAGCCCGACAGUUUCAUCAACAAUUUCAUGUGCCCACCAAAACCUUACAGCAGAAGUUUCAUCUGUCUCGAGCAGUUGCUUGACAGAUAGUUUUAGGAUGUCAACAGUGUAUCACUUUCCAUCAUCCCCCUAGUGUGGGGGUUAAUCCCAGGGUCUUACUGCCUCUAAAGAUUUGGCAAAUGGAUGUAACUCACAUAUCUGGAUUUGUGACUCUAAAAUACAUUCAUGUUUCUGUGGAUACCUGCUCAGGUGUCAUUCAUGCUACCCCUAUGAGUGGGGAAAAGGCACACAAUGUUAUUGGACACUGGCUAGAAGCCUAGGCUGCUUGGGGAAAGCCUCAACACUUAAAAACUGAUAAUGGCCCAGCAUAUCAAAUCCUUUUGUAAACAGAUGGAUGUGCAGUUGAGCCAUGGUCUGCCUUAGAAUCCCCAAGGUCAAGGUAUUGUUGAGCGAGCACAUCGUACCUUGAAGGAAUGCUUAAUUAAACAAAAAUGGGGAAUAGGCCAUGGCAGAACUCCUAAGGAACAGAUAUCCUUAGCCCUUUUUACUCUUAAUUGUUUUAUUUUGGAUGAUGAUGGCCUUUCUGCCAAUGACCGACAUCAGUGUUGGGCGGGCAUAUUGAAAGGUUAUGUGAAGUGGAAAGAUGUGCUCACUGGCUUAUGGCAUGGGCCAGACCCUGUGUUGGCAUGGGCAAGAGGGUCUGUUUGUGUGUUUCCUCAGGACCGGCAAGAUCUGUUGUGGGUCCCUGAAAGAUUGACCAGGAGGUGCAACAAGAAUGAAGAUCCUGCUGUUGCUGACACUUCUCGGUGUGACCCAAAUGCUGGUAAAAACGGAGCCCCAGUGGGGGAUACUACUGGUGUUCCCGAGACUCAUGCCAAUAUGUCAUGACCUUUAAGCGCACUCCUCUAAUUUGUCUAAACAGUUGUCAAGUUACUUUUUAGGUAAUUGGUCUGGAGAAUUCGAUUUCUUAAUGGAUCAGCUACGUGUAGCCAUCAUGACCGUGAACUCCACAUGUGCAGAUGCUAGACUGGCUACGGGAUUGUCAUCUUGGAUUGCUGCUGCUAUGAAUCAUCUGACGGAGUGGGCAGGUAUGGGAGCCCUAGCUGGACUCUUGCUGCUGGUCUCCCUAGUGAGCCUGUGGUGUCUUUGUAGAAUGAGGUUUGUUCAGAGUGGCACGUGGCUAUGGUGGUACAGACAUUUACAGCCAUUGAAGCAGGACAGUCCCCUCAAGCCUGGCUUACGGCCAUUCAGAAGACCUAGUUGCACCUCGCCCCUGAGUAUAUGUGAGUGACCUUGCCCAGCGACGGGCAACUUCCCUUCUACCUAAGGCACGGAACCUUGUGGGCAACGAGGUGUCCUACGAUGGGUUUAAUGAAGGGAUGAUCCUAAGACAGGGGGGGUCGCCACACUCAGAGUGCCUUUGCCUGCUUGAUUAAUUAAACAAAAAGGGGGAACUGUAGAGAGCUGCAAAGUGCUGUGCCUCAAAGAUGGCGCUGGUUUCUGCCUUCCACCCUCCCAACGGUGAGCGCUCCUUGCAGUAAACAAGUCCUUAUUUGGCUAUGUCUGCCUGGCCCGCUAGCUUCCACAUAGUGACAGCCUAUCUACAUGACCCACGUGGCUUGCUAGGACUGGCCAGUGCUAGCUAUUUAAGUGUGGUGCAGGGCGUUCCCCCGGGAAAGAGAGCCAGGAGAGAGAGAGAGAGUCAGAAGGUUGUAUCAAGGUUCUUGAGUAAAACUGCUUGAAGAAGAUCUCCUGUGGUCAUGUCUUCCUUGCUGGUCGAGGUUGGGCGCGGCAGUGGAUGACUUCAUCGAACCUGAUACACUGAAACUAAUAGGAGAAAAAGUGGGGAAGUAUCUGGAAUACAUUGGCACUGAACAAAACAUCAAUGGCUUAUCUUCUAAGAUCAAGAAUCAACAAAUGGGAUCUCAUAAAACUGCAAGCUUUAAGGCAAAAGACACUGUCAUUAGGACAAAAUGGCAAGCAAUAAAUUGGGAAAAGAUCUUUACCAAUCCUAUAUUUGAUAGAGGGCAAAUAUACAGAACAUAAAAACAACUAAAGAAGUUAGAUUUAAAACAGGUAAACAACCCCUUUAAAAAACUGGGCACGGGGUUGGGGAUUUAGCUCAGCAGAAGAGCGCUUGCCUAGGGAGUGCAAGGCCCUGGGUUCGGUCCCCAGCUCUGGAAAAAAAUAGAAAAAAAAACUGGGCACAGAGCUAAACAAAACAUUCUCAGCUGGGAAAGAUGGAAUGGUCAAAAAGUACCUAAAGAAAUGUUCAACAUCCUUAGGAAUAAGGGAAAUGCAAAUCAAAACAACCCUGAGACGCCACCUCCAAAGACUCAGACUGGAUAAGAUAAAAAACUCAGGUAACAGUAAAUGCUACCAAGGAUGGGGAGAAAGGAACACUACUCCCUCCCUUGUUGGUGGGAUUGCAAACUGGGACAACCACUUUAGAAGCCAAUCUGGAGGUUCCUGAAUAAAUUGGACAUUGCACUACCUGAGAACUCAGCUAUACCUCUCCUGGGCAUAUACGCAAAAGAUGCCCCAACAUACAACAUAGACACAUGCUCCACUAUAUACAUAGCAGCCUAAUUUAUAAUAGCCAGAAGCUAGAUAGAACCCAGAUUCCCUUCAACAGAGGAAUGGAUUCAAAAAAAUGUGGUAUAUCUACACAACAGAUUACUACUCAGCAAUCAAAAACAAUGACUUCAUGAAAUUCAUAUGCAAAUGGAAUGAACUAGAACAUAUCAUCCUGAGUGAUAUAACCUAAUCACAAAAAAACACACUAGGUAUGCACUCAUUGAUAAAUGGAUAUUAGCCCAAAAGUUCUAAUUACCCAAGAUAAAAUCCACAGACUACAGAGAGCUCAAGAAGAAGGAUGACCAAAAUGGGGAUGUUCGCAUUCAUUGUUAAAAGUGGAAAAAAUAUCCAUAGGAGGGAAUAUGGAAGCAAAGAUUACAGCAACGACUGAAGGAAUGGACAUUCAGAGCCUGCCUCGCAUGUGGCCCAUAUAGAGCAACCAAAACUAGAUAAGAUUGAUGAACCUAAAAAGGCAAGCUGAAAGGGACCUGAUAUAGAUCUCUCCUGAGAGAUACAUACACAGCAUGUCCAAUACAGAGGUCAAUGUUAUCAGCAAUCCACUGUACUGAGAACAGAACCCCCUGGGUGGGAAUUAGAGGAAGGAUUGAAGGAGCUGAAGGAGCUUGUAACCCCAUAACAACAACUAUGCCAACCAACCAGAGCCUCCAGUGACUAAACCACUACUGAAAGACUAUACAUGGACUGACCCAGGGCUCCAACUGCAUAUAGAGCAGAGAAUAGGCUUGUGGAAUAGGAAGUCCUUGGUCCUGCUGAGAUUGAACGCCAAGUGCAUGGAAAUGUGGGGUGGGGGGCAGUAAGUGGGAUGGAUUGGGGGAACACCCUUAUGGGGAAGGGAUUGUGGAUGGGAGCUUAUGGACAGGAAACCGAGAAAAGGAGUAACAUUUGAAAUGUAAGUAAAAAAUAUUUCGAAUAAAAAUAUUACAAAAUCAAAAACAGGAAAAAAGACAACAAUGGGAAAUAUAGGACAGCACAGGUAAAUUGGUAGAAGACCUUAAAAAGGAAAGACAAAAAUCCCUUACAGAGUUACAGCAAAACACAACCAAACAGGUGAAGGAAUUGAACAAGACCUUCCAGGACCUAAAAAUGGAAAUAUGUCCCACGCUACGUCUCGCCAGCAGGAACGACGCGGCACAUACAGGAUCCUUCUGCAGAAAAGCUUUAAUGCGUCUUGAGAGGGAGAGCAUAAGCUUACAAUGCGGAGACGCCGAGUGAGGAAUAACCGUCCCUUAUAUAGGAAACUAUCCUCGCCUAGGACGUGUCACUCUCUGACUGGUCGCUGCCAAUUAUGCCAGAUGACGUACCAAAGCAUACGUGUCCCUUUGAGUAGGGACGUUACCAGGCGCCUGCGUAUUGCCCUUUUUACUAGGUGCGUUCUGCUGGAUGCCGGUGCCAUCUUAUAAUGGAGUAUGUGAGGACAGCUCCUCACAGAAAUAGAAACAGUAGGGAAAUCACAAAGAGAAAACCCUGGAUGUAGAAAACCUAGGAAAGAGUUCAGGACUCAUAGACUUAAGCAUCACAAACAGAAAACAAGAGAUGCAUGAGAAAAUCUCAGGGGCAGAAGACACCAUAGAAAACAUUAACUCAUUAGUCAAAGAAAAUGCAAAAAGCAAAAAGCUACAAACCAAAAACAUCCAGGAAAUCCAGGACACAUUGAGAAGCUGAAACCUAAGGAGAAUAGAUGUAGAAGAAAGCAAGUAUUCCCAAAGCAAGUAAAUAUCUUCAAAAAAAAAAAAAACUUCCCUAAACUAAUGAAAGAGAUGCCUGUGAACAUACAAAAGGCCUACAGAACUGCAAACAAAAUGAAGCAGAAAGGAAAUAAGUUACAUUACAUAAUAGUCAAAACACCAAAUAUACAAAAAAUAAAAAUAACAUUAAAAGCAGUAAGGGCAAAAUGUCUAGUAACAUAAAAAGGCAGACCUAUCAGAAUUUCACCAAAACUUCAACAAAGACUAUGAAAGCUAGAAGAUCCUGGAGAGAUGUCAAUUAGACCCUAAGAAACAAAAGUGCCAGCCCAGGCUACUAUAAUCAGCAAAACUCUCAAUUAACAUAGAUGGAGAAAUCAAGAUAUUCCAUGACAAAGCCAAAAUUACAUAAUACCUGUCCACAAAUCAAGCCCUACAAAUGAUAAUAGAUGGAAAACUCCAACACAAGGAGAGAAACUAGACUUUAAAAAAAAGCAAGAAUCUAAUCUUCCUGCAAUAAACCCAAAGAAGGAGAAUUACAGAGAUAACUCCAUCUUUAGAAAAAAGUAACAGGAAACAAAAUCACUACUGCUUAUUACCUCUUUUUUUAUUGGAUCUUUUUUCUUUACAUUUCAACUGUUAUUCCCUUUCCCGGUUUCCUGUCAGAAAGCCCCCAAUCCCACCCCCUUUCCCCUUCUUCUAAGUGAGUGUUCCCGCUCCCCAUUGACCCUCCCGGCCCACCCUGAAAUUCCUCAACAUUGGGCAACAGCAUAGGCAGGACAAAGGACUUCCCCAGUUGGUGCUCAACAAGGCCAAUCUCUGCUAAAUAAGCAGCUGAAGCCAUCGGUCUCUCCUCCCUUUUUGCGACUUGUUUGGUCUCUGGGAGCUCUGGUUGGUGGGUAUUGUUGUUCUUAUGGGAUUGGAAGGCCUCAACUCCUUCAAUCCUUUCUCUAACUCCUCCAAUGGGAACCCCAUUCUCAUUUCAAUGGUUUACUCCUAAUUUUGCCUCUGUGUGUGUCACACUCUGGCUGAGCCUCUCAGAAGACAGCUAUUUCAGGCUCCUGUCCGCAUGCCCUCUUUGUUUCUUCAACAUUGUCUAGGUUUGGUGACUCUGUUUGUGUGUGUGUGUGUGUGUGUGUGUGUGUGUGUGUGUUUAUGGACGGGAUCCUUAGUUGGAGCAUGCUCUGAAUAGCCAUUCCAAUACGUUUCUGCUCCAAACUUUGUCUCCAUAUCUCCUCCUAGGAAUAUUUUUAUUCCUGCUUUCAAGACUGACUGAAAAAUUUGCACUUUGGUUGUCCUUCUUGAGCUUCAUGUGAUCUGUGGAUUGUAUCUUGGGUAAUACAAACUUUAGGGCUAAUAUCCACUUCUCAGUGACUCCAAACCUUGUGUGUUUUUCUGAUUGUAUUACCUCACUGAGAAUGAUAUUUUCCAUCCAUUUGCCUGAGUUUCAUGAAGUCAUUUAUUUUGAUAGCUGAGUAGUACUCCAUUGUGUAGAUGUAUCACAUUUUUUUAAUUUGUUCCUCUGUUAAAGGGCAUCUGGGUUCUUUUCAGCUUCUGGCUAUAAUGAAUAAGAUGGCUAUGAACAGAUUGGAGCAAGUAUGUUCUGUUCAGCCUAUUUUCCCCAGUGCCCAUCUGUUCGAGGCUAUGCCUCAAAUUUUCUUCUAUUAAUUUGAAUAUACCUGGUUUUAUGUGAAGGUACUUGAUCCACUUGGACUUAACUUUUAUACAGGCUGAUAAGAAUGGAUUGAUCUUUCUAAUUCCUCUAAUUAGAGCAAAAUUGACAAAAAUAGAAAAAAGACUGAGGGAAAGUUGGUCGAUUGACCAUCCUAUCUUGGGAUACAUCUCAUGGGGAGGCACCAAGGACUGACACUAUUACUAAUGCUAUGUUGUGCUUAAAGACAGGAGCCUAGCUUGCUGUCCUCUGAAUGGCCUAAACAUCAGCUGAAUGAAAAAGAUGCAAAUACUAUACCCGACAAAUCGAUUGAAGUCAAGGAUGGCUAUAGUUGAAUUAGGGAAAGGUUGGAAGAAGCUGAGGAGGAGGGCAACCCAAUAGGAAGAACAGCAGUCUCAACUAACCCAGGCACCUAAGAUCACUCAGACACUGAGCCAACAACCAGGCAGCUUACAGGAGCUGGUCAGAGGCCCUGGACAUAUACAUAGCAGAAUACUGCCUGGUCUGGCCUCAGAGGGAAAUGUGCCUAAUCCUCAAGAGACUUGAAGCUCUAGGAACAGUGGAGACUGGGUUGGGAAGGGGCACAAUCUUCUUGGAGAUAUCUUUAAGAAAAGUAAAAUCCAAAGACCUUGCAAAAUGAAAAGACAUACAUUAAUUACAAGUCAAUAAAAGAAAUCUAGAGUCAAUAACUAAAUAACUAAAAUAAGAUUAAAUUGAACAAUUCCAAGCAAGUGCCUUAUAACUACACUUUGAAACACAUCGACUAAAAGGAGGAAACUGAGUAAAAUUACAGUCUUCAACCAGGUACAUAUCGAUCUCAGUCAUAGAAUAUAGACUGUACGCAGUGAGACUGGGCCAACAUCCUCAUAAGGAAUGGUACUGAGGCGUGUCUGGAAACCUUGCUUUUGUAAGGGACCACAAAGAUAAAUCAGUUACCUCCAGCAUUCACAAAGCUCCAGAUUUCACACAGUUACUGCAAAAUUAUAAAACAUAUAUCAUUAUCCAUAAUAAAUACUCUAAACUCUUUAGAGAAUGCCAGUUCAAUACUAUCAGUUUCUUUUGGCCAUUGGUUUUGCCAUGGAUGAAGUCAAAAGGAACCUAUCUUCUACCAAAUGUUUCUCUAAUACUUCCCUAUUUACUGUGGAGAAGUGUGAACAUCACACAGAAUCAUAAAUAAUAUUGCAAAAAACAGGGGAUGGUUUUCCUAAGUAUGCCUGAGAAGAAAAAAUCAUGUGUUUACUACCACAGGCCCCACUUAGGAAAUUUUUUGAUUGCGAGAACAUUCCUUCAGCGCAACAAACCUUAGCAGAUGAGAUUGUGUGUCGUAGUCCCAUGUCUGCUUUUAGGAACAUUCCCAGACCCUAAUAAGCAGGAGAGUGGCUUCACAUUUAAGGCAAUCCAAUCUAUAUAUGUCAAGAAUAAUUAUUCAGAUAUAGAGUAACAUUUAUAUGUAUCAAAUACAGAUGAAGCAAAGAAGUAUUUAGAAGUUUUAUUUUCCAAAUCAUUCAAACAAAAGUAGGUUUUACAAGUUCUUAGAAGUAUAGUAUACUAACAGGGUGCAAUUGUCAUUCCUCUAAUGUUAAACUGGUACUUAGCACACUUUAAGUCUUGGACAGAAAUUGGGCCUAUUCUCUAUCUCAUCUUGCUAUUUAUAUACUACAUUCUCUAGCUUACCAACAGAUGUAUCCAUUCUAUCCAGGGUGACUGUGAACAAUUUUCCUAUGUGUAUCAGAUGCUGCCCAAGGACACAGCCUUGUCCUGGGCCAUAGUCUCUUUGAAACUAGAUUUUGCUUAACAUAUAAGAAACUGGAGUCUGAUAAUGUUAUCAUUCCUACAAGACUCUGCCCAACAGUUUCCUGGUAGGCCUGACUUUCUAUAAAAGGGGUUGUUUGGCUCCUCAUUUCUCUCUCUGCACACACACCCCUUCUCUCUGUCUUUCUGUCUUUACUCUCUUCUCAACUCCCCUUCCAAUGCCUUAAAUAAACUAUGUACUGCACUAUACCAUUGAAUGGUUGGUAUCUCAGGGUAUGGGGGGAAGACAGAAGCCCCAGCAUGGGCCUGCUGAGGCACCACCUCCCACAAUACCAUAGAGUAAACAAAACAUAUCCUAGCUCCUUUUUAAAAACACAACUAAGCUUUUGUGAGCAUGAUUACAAUCAACUGACUGUUAUAUGUCACAAGAGUUUAAAUGUAUUACAAAAAAUGUUAACAGUGUCAGCAAAUGCUGUUUCACAGACCAUAUUUUGGUUAUGCACUCUAGAACAUGGAUAUUUCUGGAUUUUCAGAAAAUCAGCAUCAAUACUUCACAGUGGGAUGACAACACAAUUAAGAGAGAGUUUAACCUUGACUCUCUGAGGGUAUUUGCACACCAUUAUAGAAAGAUACAUUUCUGGUUUUAAAAUUAUUGUUCUAAUAUUGAAUCCUCCACAUACCAAGACUUUUUCUGGUGAAUGGGUAGACAUAUUUGAAAUGUAAUUCCUUGAGACCUAACUGUAAAGCAUUUAAAACUGCUCAUCCAAUGCCUUGCUGGAAUAGCUGAUGUCCUGCACUUGACUGCUCCUAGGUUCCUUUGUCCAGAGGGCACUGGGAAGUUUCCUCUUUGGCUAGAAAUGUGAGCAGAAUUGUCGGUCUCCCCUGAGUUUUCAGGACUGUCCACACUUCUGAGAGUCCAGCUCUCUUCCUGACAGGUUUUGGGUACAGAGAGCAGUGGGAAAAGUUCAGCCCGAGCACAGGCAAAAACCAGUCUCAGAACAUUUUUUAAGACAAUAAUGUAUAAAGGAGAAGUGAGAUAGGGUUUCUACAACCUAUUUCUCAAUAAAGGAAUCUGGAAUAUUCUAUUGUAUAUACUGUUAAGAUUAUCCUAUUUUAUGUUACUAAUUUUUUAUGUAAGAACAAUACUGGGAGAAAGUAUAAUUUUGUCAGUAUUAUUUGACUGUGCAUAUAUCUCACAUACUCAUAUACAUAUUCAUUGAAUUCUAUUACUUUCAUUUUAGGAUACUGUAAAAUUAUUCAUAGCUCAACUUUGAUGCCUAAUCUCCUAUUUUUGUAUUGCUUCUGUAAUUCCUUUAGAUCCUAUUUCUUUCAUUGUCAAUUUUCCCAUUUUCUAAUAGACUAUAAGCAAGACUUUGAGAAACAAUUUGCUUAGUAUCCCUGCAGAGUAUUAAUGUAUGUCUAUAUGGUCUUCCCAUUGAUAUCCUCCUGCUGUCUGCAUUCACAUAAUUAUUCAAUGGUUUCAUUUGCAACAAUUUAAAUUGAUUUUGAAUCUGUUUUUAUUCUUCCGAAGGUAUAUGAAUUCUUGGAGUUUUCUCAAAUUUUCAUAUUUCUUCAUCAUUACUUUGGUCAAUUUGAAGAAACUGCCCACUACUCUUGAAACAAAUUGUUGACAAUUUGUAGGAAAAAGAAAAAUCUCGGGUUGGGGAUUUAGCUCAGCGAUAGAGCACUUGCCUAGCGAGCGCAAGGCCCUGGGUUCGAUCCCCAGCUCCGAAAAAAGAAAAAAAAGAAAAAGAAAAAAAAAGAAAAAUCUCACAAAACAUGAUUCCAUAUUUAAAUGAGAAUUUCUUAGCUAUUUCUCAGCACUGAUAUGUUUUAUAUAUAUAUAUACAUAUGCAUAUAUAUGUACAUAUAUAUAUUUCUGUUUUCUGUUACUUUUUCUAUGUAUAUAAUCUGUGAGUAAUUAUUCAUUAUUGCAAGAAUGUGUAAUAAUUGAAUACAAAAUACUAUAUUACCUUUGUGAUAUACUUGAAAUUUAUGUGAAUUACUUUGCUUGUUUGGCAUCUGAAGAAGCUGUCUGCUUGCUUAGAUGGUGACUGAAAAAAGUUGCAUUUCUACUUAUACUAAUGUCUAAGUUCUUUCUGUUCAGUUUCCUCCAGGAUUUCUCAUUUUAAGUAUAGUUAGUGUGGAAAGUCACAAGGCAGAUAGAAAAUCUUGGUGAAGAUUGUUGGAGGUGGGUCUGGUUCACUCUUUAUUCAGAUGCUGAUUUCUGUGCCCAUAGAUCUCCUUACAGUACAGCAUUUUCAUGAUUUUUGAACCAUCUCCCAAAUCAAUGUUGUAAAAAAAUGUUCCCAAUUAUUUCUGAUUGAUUAAGAAAGAGCUUAUCAGACUAUGUCUAGGCCGAAGAGAAAGGAAGGCUGAACUUCCAGUCCAAGCCAUGGCUCUCAGUGAGAGAGGUAGUAUUGAAAGAACCACAAAUGAGGAAGUUGUGGAGGAACAGGGGAAGAAAACAGGAGGAUUUAGACUGAGGUCAUGGUGAGACAGAAGGAAUCAGCAUGACUUAAGACCAUGUUCAAAUUAAAGGUAAAGGACCAUAUAGUUGGGGAAAAGCAGAUUUAGAGGCUUAGAAUAGCUCAGAACAUAUCAGCUUAGGCUUGCAGGUUGUAAGUAAAAAUGUCUCUGUGACAGUUUUUGUUUUGUUUUGUUUUGUUUGUUUUUGUUUUUUUUUUUUAUUAACUUGAGUAUUUCUUAUUUACAUUUCGAGUGUUAUUCCCUUUCCCGGUUUCUGGGCCAACAUCCCCCUAACCCCUCCCACUCCCCUUCUUUAUGGGUGUUCCCCUCCCCAUCCUCCACCAUUGCCGCCCUCCCCCCAACAAUCACGUUCACUGUGCGUUCAGUCUUAGUAGGACCAAGGGCUUCCCCUUACACUGGUGAUAUUACUAGGAUAUUCAAUGCUAUCUAUGAGGUCAGAGUCCAGGGUCAAUCCAUGUAUAGUUUUUAGGUAGUGACUUAGUCCCUGGGAGCUCUGGUUGCUUGGCAUUGUUGUUCAUAUGGGGUCUCGAGCCCCUUCAAGCUCUUCCAGUUCUUUCUCUGAUUCCUUCAACGGGGGUCCUGUUCUCAGUUCAGUAGUUUGCUGCUGGCAUUCGCCUCUGUAUUUGCUGUAUUCUGGCUAUGUCUCUCAGGAGAGAUCUACAUCCGGCUCCUGUCUGCCUGCACUUCUUUGCUUCAUCCACCUUAUCUAAUUGGGUGGCUGUAUAUGUAUGGGCCACAUGUGGGGCAGGCUCUGAAUGGGUGUUCCUUCUCUCUGUUUUAAUCUUUGCCUCUCUAUUCCCUGCCAAGGUUAUUCUUGUUCCCCUUUUUAAAAAAGGAGUGAAGCAUUCUGUGCCAGUUAUUUAAGAGCUAGACUAAGAACAGGUAAGGCUUGUACCCUUACAUUAUUGACUUCAAAAAAAUUGUUAGGUGUUUGUUUAAAACUAGUGGUGUAUAGCAUGGAAAGAGAAGCUCUGAGUGGCAGGGAUAUUCUUGACUUUAAAGGAAGAAAAAUUUAAAGUCCUCAUAUAAAAGGGACUCAGAAAGAGCCUCAUAUUGAUCUAGCCAUUGCAAUUCCUUAAUCUUUGGUAUGAAGAGUGAUAUAAAUGUUUUUUAUCAUUGAGGGAUAUAGUAUAUUUUAUCAUUGAGGGAUAUAAUAUUAUUUAAUAUGUCACUUCACCCAUUAUUGUUUUGUUAUAUCUCCACAUAAUAGCAAGAAGAUUUCCUGAUGGAACCUGAGUAUAACACUGUACUUGACUGCAAGCGACUAUUUUCUAGGAAGUUUGCCUUCAGGACCUUUUAGGAAAAGUACAGUACUCUAUUCCCUCAUAGUUUACAUGGCUUACCCUACUACAAGUUAUUGACAUAUUUUCAGCACGUGACUUAAAUUCUCUCUUUUAAAAGGAGGCUCAAAUUCUAUCCUGAAAUGGUUAAACAUAAUUGUAUCAUGUCUAUUGUUUUCAUAGUGCUCAUUGAUCAAGGAAACUUAAAAAGCAUUUAUACUGGUUAUUGGUUCUAAAGGGCUAAGAUUCUAUCAUGGGAGGGAAGACUGACAGCAAGUAGUCAUAUUGGUGGAAUAAAAAACUGAAAGAUUGCAUUCUCAGUAUGAGUCACAAGCAAGCUGUCUUGGGGCCUUUUCCCCUCAGAACCUGCCCUGGUGAAGCACUUCUCCAGUGAUUCUUUACCAACAAAUUUGCCCCGAAUAUUAUGACCUCUGAUAGACUUAGAUGUCAAAUACACCACCCUAUGGGGUGCAUUGUCAUCAAACCACAAAUCAGCCUACUAAGAUUUAUACUACCAAGGCUGUUCUUUUUCUUGCAUCCAAGGAAGAUAGAGGGAUUUCUGCAGAGGGGCGAGGAAAAUACAACCACAAAACUGUAUAGGUUCUGGAAAUUCCCAUUAUAUUCACUUUCUCAUUAUGGUGCAAAACGUCUGAUUACUCACUGAAAAUUUUCCACAGCCCCUCCAACCUUGGUAUAAUAUUUCACCUGCCAUAUCAGGUAACCUGAUACGUAUGUAAGUCCUGGUAAGCGUGAGCAUUUGUACACAUAUUUUAUCACUAACCUGUACCAGGCAAUCUCCUUUGUUCCUGAGCUCUCAGGCCCUUGCUGAGAACUCUUUGUAAAUGAGUCCCAUGAGGAACGAGUGCAGACUUGUUUGAGUAACUCAGAAAGGAUACUUAUUGAGGCCCACAGUAAUGUUUUAAACAAUACUUUUGCUAAGUGUAUCUAUAGUCAUUAACUUUUUAAUCAGAGAAAUGUACCCUAUGACAUAAAAUACUGCAUUCACUUGUAUUUAUUCAUUUUUUUGUUUUUUAAGAUAUAGCCUUAUUGUGUAAUUCUAUCUAUUAUGGAAAUCACUAUAUAGGACACACUGUGAUGAAAAACUCACAGAUAUCCACCUGCCUCUGCCCCUUAGUUGCUGUGAUUGAAGGUUAGUGUCACCACAUUAAGAUUUAUAUGUUGACAAGUCUGUUCUCUCAACCCUUGUUCCCACAGAAUUUGAAUACUGGAGAUCUGUCAGGAGAUGUCUUUUUGCAGUCCUCCAGGGCUUUGACUCCUUGGGGCGUCCCCAAGUUCAACCCACAAUGACUGUGCUUAAAGUUUUAUUUCACCUUUAACUCUGUCCAGGCCAGGCACUUCCUCUAACCUUAACCCCUAUUUUUCAUUCUAUAUCUUGACCUAUCUCUCCCACUCUGUCUCUGGCCGUCAUUCACAUAGCUGUCAAGAUGCUCUGGACCUGCUCUACACAAUCACAGCUACCCCACAAGCAUGCUACCUGCUUAGAACAAGCUUGAUCUAUGAGGAUGCUGUACCCCACUACUUAGCCUCCAAUCCUAAAUUCUUAGCCUUUAAGUAUUACAUCUCACAAUGAGAAUAAAGUCUCCUGAGUUACACCACACAGCAAAAGACAAGGGACUGCCUGGAAGCAAAUCAAGUGGAAAACAUUGGUAGAAUAUCCCUACUCUAAAUCAAUAAUGUAAUCCUAGUGCACUCUAUAUAAUGCAGUUGGGAUAAAAAUCAAUUUACGCACCAUAAAACAUAAUUGGAAGAUUAUUCAAGGAAGUCGAGGGACAUAAAGAUGAAGUCAGCUCUUGAAUUCAAGGAGGAUAGGAACAAACUUGUUGAAGGACAAGAGAACAGCAGAAAAUGGUUGAAGAAAAUGAAAAUAAUGCAAGAUGCUAACAGAGAUAGAAAUCUAAGGAAUCCUCGACCCUGAAAUGAAAAAAGAAAUUAAGAACUCUGUAAGUAACUCGAUAGAGAGCCUGUCUACCAUGAUAUAGAAGAGAGAAGACAAACAUCAGAGUUCCAAUACAAGCCUAGAGGACUUAACCAAGAAAUCAUAGGCAAAAAAAAUGGAACAAAAUUCUUGCUGCAUACUUGCAGCAAUAUUAAACUCAAAAGUAUAAUUAAAGCCAAACACAGUAGGGUAGGUGUUUCAUCCUAUCUCUCAGGACAGAGAGGCAAGCAGGUCUAUGUGGAUUGGAAGCCAGCCUGGUCUCCAUAUAAGCUUAUGGUCCAGUAGGACUGCAGAGUGAGACUCUGUUUCAGAAAUAAAAAACCAAAAUGAGAAAUUAAAGAUAUAUUUUCUUCAAUGACAUUAAAGUUCUCUAAACUGUGGCUUCUGGCACAAAUAGAGCAUGGGUAGUAAAAGAAGGAUAUGUUGGUUUAAAUAAGAAUGUCUCUCAUUGGUUUAUGUAUUUGAAGUUACCUUUCCAUGUUUUAGGAAAUUGAGUUAUUAGGACAUUGUUGAAUAAAGUAUGACAAUGGGAUUGAGGAAAAAAAAGUAUCCAGAUUCCACUUAGUUUUUUCUUUCCCUCCUUACUUAACUGUGGCUGAGGACAUAGCCUCUUAGCUUUCUAUCUCACCAACAUGGCAACUUGCUGUUAGGCUAUAAGGCCUCCCUACCAUGGUGGAUUCUUAUCCUUUGGAAGCAAUCCCCAAAGUAACCUCUUUCUUCUACAGGUUGCCUCGGUCAUGCUGCUUUAUGAAAGCAGCAGACAAAAAAACCCUUAUAGUUAAUAAUUAUCUAAUUGGACUCAAGGUACCCUUUCAGAAAGAGAAUUCAUGUCAUGUUCUGGAACCUAAUGAUGACCAGUUAGUAUGAUGUGUCCUGAGCAUUAGGGAGUCAAGGGGCAGAGGGCCUUGCCAGGAAACUUAGUAAGGUAGAGAUGGUCUGAGUCCCCAGAAAUUUGGGGUACACACUUGAGAAGGUAGGUGGUUCCCUGCUUCCUGACAGGAGACUAUUAAGAAACAACAGGAGAGGUGCUAGAGAGAUAGCUCAGUGGAUAAGCGCAUUGAGUGUUCUUCCAGAGGUCCUGAAUUCAAUUCCUAGGAACCACACAGUAUCUCAUAACCAUCAGUAAUGGAAUCCUAUGUCCUCUUAAUCGUGAGUCUGAAAACAGGUACAGAAUACUUAUAAAUAUGUAAUAUAUAAAUCUUUAAAAAAAGAAACAAUAAGAGAAACCAAUGGGACGACCAUAUAAAUGGUUUAAUAUUCUGCAGAGGUACUAAAGAAUUCUUAUCAAAGCCUACUGUCAUUAUAUCAGGAAGUGGGAAAAUUGACCACAAAAUGAAAAGAAUAUAAAGAAACAACUGAAGCUUUCAAAGUUUAAAGACUAUGAAACAAACAUUAUCCAGUACUUUUCCUAAUUUCACAGUAUGCUUAAAUGCAUUAAAGAAAUUUAUAUAACAUUGAUAUGAACCCCCAAAAUGAUACAAACAGAGUAAGGAUGUCACACAUGCAGAAAUAAAUUAUAUUUUGUUCUAAUAAUAUGAAAUAGGAAGUCACUAAUGUGCAAAACAGGCUAAUCAUGACGUGAUUUACAGUAGAAUAGUUCAGAACCAUUUCUAAAGGAUCAGAAUGUGGAUAAAACCAAUCUCAUGCAUCAUUUAUAUUUCUUUUAAAUCUUUAGUAUGUUUUUAUUUUAGCUUAUGGGCAGUAGUGCUCUGCAUCAUGUAUAUAUGUACUCUCUUUGUGCAGGAUUCCUGCUGAGGUCCAAAGAAGAUAUCAGAUCUCCUGGAGCUGAAGGGACACAUAGUUUAGAGACAACUAAGGGAUGCUAAGAACUGCAUACAAGUCUAUUUAAGAUAAGCAAGUACUACUCACCACUGGGGCAUCUCUUCAAUGCUCCUCCUAUCCCAUUUCCACUGUCCCUGGAACUCCUCACUAAUCUUAUCCAAUUCCUCCAAAUGAUACAUGGUCCUUUUGCUACAGUUUUUCUCUCUACUUUACAGGAUUUUUUGCUUUUGUUGAUAGAAGAAGCAUGUUUGGCUUAUCAGUUAGAAAACAAUAUAAGGAAAGCAUUCUUCAGAAUUAAUUAGAAUUUCUAAUACAUUACAGUGCCAGUAGAGAAAGGGGAAUCUACAAAUGAAUCUCCAAAAGCUGUAUAGUAGAAGAAUAAUGAAAGUGUUCUGUAAGCAUUUUCAGUUAGCUUUGACUUGAGUUCUACCACUUCCAAUUACAGAUCAAGCAAUCUUGGCAAGCUGAAAUGGAACUCAAUGAUGAGAAUGACAAUAAUUAAAACUUCUGAACUUCUUAAUCUAUGAUGGAAGGAAGCUUUAUACCUCCCAAAAGGAUGAACAGGAAGAACACAAUGAAUGUUUUUCCCUCUGAGGAUUUCUCUGUGACAGGAUUAGUGAAGUGGAUCUUUCUCAAAGAGGAACCCAGCUGAAAGACAGGCAACAUACUAUAGAGUAUAUGUUCUUGCUUAAGAGAGAGGGAAGAACUGGAAAUUAUGAGACCUGAAAGCCAGUGAAUUUAUAUAGACCAUAUUUUGAAGUUCACAGCACUUUUAUAUCGAUUCUUGAUGCAGCUUCAGUACAUAAAUGGGGACACAUGGAGAAAAUUUACGAAAAUAACUGAGUAUCUAUAUGAAAGUUCUGCACAGGCCCUUUUACUGGUAGAAUCAAGAAGAUACAGCCUGUUUCUGAGUUUCCAUCCUUGUCUCUAUUCUGCUUUAUUCUCCAAGAGCAGGUGGGAUAAUUGAAACCAGCCACAUGAAGUAGAAUGUGCAAGAGCAAGAAGAAUAAAAUCAAAGUGAACAUAGUUUUCCUUCCCUGAGCCUGGGCAGAAUGGUUUGUGAAGUGGCACACAGAUUAGCAAAUCAGAUACCCAUAUAUCCCCAUGUACUUUUAUCACUGUGGCCAAGGGAGAUGCUACAUCUGCAUUUCUGUUUCCUUUUUUAGAGCUGUUUCCUCACCCCUGGAGCAAUCUUUGAUACUAUCUCCUGGGGAUGUUCAUCUGAUGUCCACUGUUCAUGUGAUAAACUUAGUUGAUAAAUAUAGAUGAGGGAGUUGUAGCUACAUGAAUGACAUCACACGUUUUUCCCAGGAAAUUUAAGUCCCUGGAAAGAUUCCACUUUGUGAAAUUUGGUCUCAGGAUUGCCUCAAAUUCUGUUUAUGUGAACACUUGAAAUAAUUAUCAGUGGAUUUUUGUAGUUGAUCCACUUUCAGGAAGGACUCAUAGAGUCUGAGGUCAUGGUUAUACACUGAACAUUGUGUCACAAAUCUCAUGUCAGGGAAAAGCAGCCUCAUGUUUAGAGCAUUGUGAUCCAUUGAGAAUAUAUUAUGGGCAACAUACAGCAUUGUCACGUACAGAAUAUCUAAACAAAAACUAUGCUUACGUUGUCUUGGGAAUUAAAACAUCAUGGCAAAUCCAGAAAUGUCCUGAAUAAUAGUAAAUGUUGCUUUUAAAAUACUUAAGAAUCUCCAUAGAAGUCUCUACUUAAACUUUUGUUCCUCAUUUCAAAUACUACAUAAGACCGAGCACUCUUGUUUCCCCAUUAUUUUUAAAGAAAAACUAAGCUUAAUAUUUGAGUUCUAAAACAUGAUUUCCCAUUUGACCCUCAGUUCUCACAGAUGAAUACCUCAUUUUGACAAGUUUCUUCUACUUUAUCACUUAUUUUCUCCAUUGAUUUUGCUAAUUUUACAUUCCAGUAGUCACCAUGAAGAAGUCUUACAAUUAGUGUUUUAGAAGAAAAUAGUAAGUGGCAAGUAAACUUUGUUUAAUGAGUAAACUCUUCUUAUACAGUUUUCAUAGCCAAGUGGGAGAGUAUACUGAUAAUUGUGGUCUGAUGAGUGUUUCCGGAUAUAGGCUGCAGAGCAAGCAGCCCAAAUAUAGGCAAUUCUUUCUUCUAUGUUGUGACAUGUAUUAUUUAGCAUUUAUGAUGAGGCAGAGUUUGUUUCCUUUCUAGAUUUUGUUGUACAUUUAAAUAACAACAUUUUAUGUGUGCAUGAACCAGAACUCCUGUCCUAGGUAGCAAAUGUACAGACUCAGAGAGAUGUGAGAUGGAGAGAUUUUCAUAGGAAGGAUAAGCACAUUCAUAUUUCAUGAGUACAAAUAAAAUUGCCAAGAGUCCACAUUCAGCAUUGUAUUCAGUUUCAUCUGUGUAAAAUGGUUAUUUCAUUUUAAAUGAAUGCAUUUUAUUAUGACACAUUCACAUGUAUGUUUAAUGUACUUUGCCAGUUUUUUUCCCAUUUGAAACCCACAUCUAUUGCUCGUCUUGCUACUCAUUUCAUUCCUCAGUUCAAACAGCCAUUCUCUUACCUUAUGACCUUUUUGUUUUGAUUAUGAGACAAGGGUCAUACUUUAUUGUGUAUUUUUCCAAACUGGCUUCACAUGGCACCCCAUCCCCAAUGGGUUACCCACUUGCUUCAUGUAAUAAUGUGUGAAUAUACACACACAUACAUACGUGCAUACAUUUAUUAACCUUUAUAUAUGAAAUCUUCCCUGCCUCUCAAGGAUAAAGCUUACAUGAUCAAGGAGGUUGAUAUUUUUGUUUGUUCUUGGGUUCACUUUGCAAAUAUUUUAUUGAGUAUAUUUGUACCAAGGUUGAUAAGAGAAGUCAAUCUAUAAAUCUCCAUCUUGGUUAGUUCUUUUUUUAUCUUGAAUAUCAUGGUGACUGUAGCCUCAUAAUCUGAACUGGGCAAUGUUUCUUCAGUUUCUAUUAUUUGGGACAAUAUGGGAAUAAUAGUAUUAUAAUUUUGAAAGACUCUAAGAAUUCUGUCAAAAAUUUAUUUGUUUCAGAUUUUGGGGGAGGUGCAGCAGUUGGGAGAAUUUUAAUGAGCUUUUGUAUUUCACUAUUGGUUAGAGUUCUCUGUAAACUGUUAUGCUGACAUUCUUUGAUUCUAGAAAGUAGUAUGUGGUGAGGAAAAUAUCCAUAUCUUCCAGAUUUCAAACUUCUGGUGUGCUGUUAAGUACUGUGAAAUCAUUCUUUCUUCUUCCUUUCUUUUUGUAUUCUUCUUUUUUAAUGAAGAGGUCUUUCUUUCUGUAGCCUGGAUUUUCUGGAACUAGUUAUGUGAACUAGUUUAACCUCUGCUGGAUAUGCAUCCCACAUACUGAAUUUAAAGGUUUGUGCCACAAUCACCCAGUUGAACUUGCCUCCUUCAAUGGAUACCAUUAUGCCCACCGAAUUUUUAUGCUGUGUAAUAAUGUUCACUUAAUUCUCAAAGUAUUUUUAUAUCUUUAUUUCUGUCUUGAACUCUUUUUUAUUUGGUAGAGAAUUAUUCAUUUUCCAUGUGUUUGUAUUCUUUCUGUUGUUAGUUUUGUUUACAUACGGUUGUACUGAAUUAUUACUGACAGGAUGCAGUGAGUUUUGUUUUCUUUUGCUUUUCAGUUUCCUUGUAUGUGUUGUGACUUGCUUUAUGUUUGAGUACUUGGUCAAUUAUUGAGAAUUUUUUAUGAGAAUUUGAUAAUAAUGUUUACUAUGUAUGAUUUUAGGAAAAAUAUCAUAAAUACAUGUUAGGCCCAUUUGGUUUACAAAGAUUGGUAACUCCAUUAUUUCUUGUUUAGUUUCUGUCUAAAUAAUCUGAGUAUUAGUGAAAGCUGAGUGUAGUGAUAGUUAACCUGUUUUGCUUCUGGUGAGUUGAACUUUCACAUCUGCCCAAGAGCAAUCUGGAUUCUUGAAUGAAAGACACACACACACACACACACACACACACACACACACACACACACACACACCAGUUAAUUUUUAUAUGCCUUUGCUUGCUGGGAACUUCUAAUCUGUCCCACAGCUAGCAAACACUCCCCUCUGGCAUCCCAGAUUUAACACACUUUGAAAUCUAUAUUUCUUCUCAUCUAGAACCACUUACCUGAAUUCUUAUAUGUCUGGUCCAUCUUAUACCCCACUCGUGGUGAUUCUGCUUCUAUACCUCGCUUCUCUCUUUCAAGCCCAGGAAUCCUCAAAUGCCCGUCUGUCUGUACUGCCCAGCCAUUGGCUGUUGGCAUCUUAUUUACCAAUGAAAGGCAACUGGGUUCAGGAUUCCUUGGUGUCUUAAGUGCAGACACUUUUGUAAGCAGUUUUGGUGACCAAAAUUAACAUUAUAAUGCAAGCACCAUUAAGCCAAACCUACUUCAACUGAGUAUUAAAGUCCACCAAUAACAGUGUGCGAGUAUAUGUGAAACUGUAGAAGCAUUUUUUGCAAACUUGUGUGCCCAACUUCAGAGGACACAGUCGAUAAGGUUUGAAAUGUCAUAUUAGGUUUUUAUCCUUUGAAAAGUGUGAAGUAUUCUUCCCUAUAUUUUCAGGUUAGGUCUGGUUUGCAAUCUACACUGUUAUAUAUUGGUGUGAAUGUACAAAUUUUCUUCCUAGGUUCAUUUGCUUAGAAAUCCUUUUUACAACACAUUAUCCUGAAGUAAUGUGAAUUUCUGACAGUGGGGUAUGUCCAUUGGACGCUUGAAAAGGUGGAUUCUAUUUUCACAUCCAUGCUGUUAGACUGUGUCUUUUUAUUAUAGAGAAAUUAAAAUCAUUGAUAUUGAGAGAUAUUAGUGACCAAUCAUUGUAGAUUUCUGUAAUUUUGUUUUUGUUAAUUUUGUUCUUGCUGGUGUUUUUGUGUUGUAUGAAAUUUUCCACCAUCUGGAUAGGUGUGUCUUCUUGCAGAAUUUUAGCAGAUCCUUUGUAUCUCCCAAGAAUUCAUACUGUUGACACCUAAGCUUUGAAGUAACCUGUUUUACAUUUUAUACACGUGUUAAGAUUUUUAUUGGAUAAAAAAUGUUCAAAUGUUAUUCCAUUUCCUAGUUUCCUGUCCAUAAGCCCUAUACCCCCACUUCUAUAAGGGUGUUUCUCUCCCCAUUCACCCCAACAUUCCCUAACACUGGGGUUCCAAACUGGGCAGGACCAAAUGCUUUCACCUUCCUUUGGUGCCCAACAAGGACAUCCUCUGUUACAUAUGCAGCUGAAGAAAUGGGUUGUUCCAUGUAUAGUCUUUGGAUAGUGGUUGAUCCCCUGGGAGCUCUGGUUGGUUGGCAUUGUUGUACUUAUAGGUUUGCAAGUCCCUUCAAGUCUUUCAAUCCUUUCUCUAAUUCCUCCAACAAGGGUUCUGUUCUCAUUUCAAUGUUUUGUUGCUAGCAUAAGCCUCUGUAUUUGACACGAUCCUGCUGUGUCUCUCAGGAGACAACUAUACCCAGAUCCUGUCAGCAAUCUUCUCUGCUCUAAAUUUAGCCUCUGUAUCACCUCCUAUGAACAUUUCUUUCCCCAUUUUAAGAAAGAGUAAAACUUCUGUACUUUGGUCAUCCUUCUUGAGAUUUAUGUAGUCUGUGGUAUCUCGGAUAAUUUGAUAUUUUCUGUUAAUAUCCACUGAUCAGUUAGUGUAUACCAUGUGUGUUUUCCUGUGAUUGGGUUAUCUCACUCAGGCUGAAAUAUUCUAGGAAAUCCAUUUGCCUAUGAAUUUAAUGAAGUCAUUGUUUUUGGUAGCUGAGUAGUAAUCCAUUGUGUAGAUGUACCAUAUUUUCUGUAUCUAUUCCUCUGUUGAAGGGCAUCUUAGAUCUUUCCAGCUUCUGGCUAUUAUAAAUAAGGCUGCUAUGAACAUAGUGGAUUAAGUAUCUUUGUUGUAUGUUGGAGCAUCUUUUGGGUAUAUACCCAAGAAUAAUAUAGUAUGUUCCUCAGGUCCAAAUUUCAGAAAAAACUCCAGAAUGAUUUCCAGAGUAGUUGUACCAGUUUGCAAUCCCACCAGCAAUUGAGGAGUGUUCCUCUUGAUCCACAUCCUUGCCAGCACCUGAGUUUUUGAUCUUAGCCAUUCUGACUGGAGUAAGUGGAAUCUCAGGGUUGUUUUGAUGUUCAUUUCCAUGAAGAUUAAGGAUGUUGAGCAUUUCUUUAGGUACUUAUCAGUCAUUUGAUAUUCCUCAGCUCAGAAUUCUUUGUUUAGUUCUGUACCUAAUUCUUAAUAGGGUUAUUUGGCUCUCUGGAGAUUCACUUCUUGGUUCAUUUGUAUAUUUUGAAUAUUAGCCCUCUAUCAGAUGUAGGAUUGGUAAAGAUCUUUUCCCAGUCUGUUGGUUACCUUUUUGUCAUAAUGACAGUGUCCUUUGCCUUACAUAAGCUUUGCAGCUGUAUGAGGUAACAUUUGUCAAUUCUUGAUCUUAGAACAUAAUCCAUUGGUAUUUUGAUCAGGAAACUUUCCCCUGUGCCCAUGUGAUCUAGAUUCUUCCCCAUUUUUUUCUAUUACUUUUAGUGAAUCUGGUUUGAUGUGGAGGUCUUUGAUCCACAUGAACUUGAGUUUCACAGAGGGUGAUAAUGCAUUGCUUUGCAUUCUUCUACAUGCUGACCUCCAGUUGAACCAGCAUCAUUUCCUGAAAAUGCUUUGUUUUUUGCAUUGGAUGGUUUCAAAUCCUUUGUCAAAGAUCAAGUUACCAUAGGGGUGUGGGUUAAUUUUUGGGUCUUCAGUUCUAUUCCAUUGGUCUGUCUGUCUGUCUCUGUAACAAUACCAUACAGUUUUUAUCACUAUUGCUCUGUACUACUGCUUGAGGUCAGUGAUUGUGAUUCUCCCAGAAAUUCUUUUGUAUAGUUUUGGCUAUCCUGGUUUUUUGUUAUUCCAAACAUAUUUGCAAAUUACUCUUUCUAACUCAGUGAAGAAUUGAGUAGGAAAUUUGAUGGGGAGUGCAUUGAAUCUGUAGAUUGAUUUUGAGAAAAUGGCCAUUUUUUUCCUAUAUUAAUCCUUCCAAUCCAUGAGCAUGGAAGGUUUUCCCAUCUUCUGAGAUCUUCAAUUUCUUUCUUCAGAGACUUGAAGUUCUUGUCAUACACAUAUUUCACCUGCUUUGUUAAAGUCACACCAACAUAUUUUAUAUUAUUUGGGACUAUUGUGAAGGGUCAGAAUUUCGUUCUCAGUCGGUUUGUCCUUUGAAUAGAGGAAGGCUUCGGAUUUGUUGGAAUUAAUUUUAUACCCAGCAACCUUGCUGAAGUUCUUUACCAGGUUUAGCAUUUCUCUGGUGGAACUUUUGGGGUCACUUAAGUAUACUAUCAUAUCAUCUGUAAAGAGUUAUAUUUUGACCUCUUCUUUUCUAUUAUAUCCUUUUGAGAUCAUUUCUCAGAUUGUUUGGCUAGGACUUUGAGUACCAUAUUGAAUAAGUAGAGAGACAGAGUGGGCAGCCCUGUCUAGUCCUUGAUUUUAGUAGGAUUGUUUCAUGUUUCUACCUGUUUAGUUUCAUGUUAGCUACUGGCUUGCUGUUUAUUGUUUUUAUGCUGUUUAGGUAUGGGCCGUGAAUUCCUGUUCUUUCCAGGACUUUUAUCAUGAAAGGAUGUUGAAGUUUGUCAAGGAUUUCUCAGCCUCUAAUGAAAUGACCAUGUAGUUUUUCACUUUGAAUUGAUUUAUAGAGUGGAUUAUGUUGAUGAAUUUCCAUAUAUUGAACCAUCCCUGCAUCCUUGGGAAGAAGCUUACUUGAUCAUGAUGGAUGAUCGUUUUGAUGUGCUCUUGGAUUCGGUUUAUGAGAAUAUAAUUGAGUAUUUUUGCACCAAUAUUCAUGAGGGAAAUUGGUCUGAAAUUCUCUUUCUUUGUUGGGCCAUUGUGUGGUUUAGGUAUAAUCAGUAUUGUGUCUUCAUAGACAGACUUGGGUAGUGCUCCGCCUGUUUUAUUUUGUGUAAUAUUUUGGAUAUUAUUCAUAUGAGGUCUUCUAUGAAGGUCUGAUAAAAUUCUGCACUAAACCCAUCUGCUUCUGGGCUUGAAGUAGUCUUUUUACACUGAGUCUUACUGAGAUCUUAUGUGGCUACUCUUUCAAGGAUUUCUCAGAGUUGGAAUAUUUUAGUCCAACUGAGGGGUUUGAGAGUCUAGGAGCUAUCCUGUGGCUGAGAGUUUCUUAGGUCAUGUGUCUUACAAGUUAACCCCUGGAUCGUACAGACGUUUUGUUUGUGAAGGAAUUAACUUGCCAAUUUUUGUGUAAAAAUAAAAAGAGUUUCACUGAGGCACUCCAGGGUUCUGUCCUUCAGAUCCUACUCACUCUGGUUGCUGAGAAGCCUAUAAUUACCAGGCAGUGACUCUCUUUCUUAGAAUGGUUAUUUAUAAAACCUCACAAAUUACAAGAGUGUCUACAGACAUUUCCAAGAAAAAAUGUCUUUGUAGGUAUUAGUACCUAACGUUUAGGAAUGAAGUUGAAGCAUGAAGAGGGGUGUUGAAUUGUUCAAAUAAGGAAGGAAUGCAGGGCAAGUGACCAGGUGUGGACUCCAUUUUCUCCCCCUGACCAUGUUGCCAGUAGAACAUUUAAAAAUAGAAAGUGAGGAAAGUCUACAUCAGAAGGUUUACUUCAAAGCUAAAAAUUAUAAUGGGAAGUUGGGAUGAGGAAAAUGGAAGGAAAGUUGAUGAUCAGUAUGUAGCCUACCUCUUUUUCUGCCCAUAGUUUCCUCAGUAUUCCAUAGGAGUAUCUAGGUCUUUUCAGUUGGUCAGGAUAAAGAAAAGGAUGUGGAGACAAAAUUGUGGAGAGGAAGACCUGUGCCACAUACUGAAGAAUUUGAACUGCAUUCAUGAUGCUGUUGAUUUGAUACAGAGCUGAGUAUAGGACCACAAAAUUGGUUUUUGGAGGAAAUGAAGGUGAAGUGAACAUCUGCAGUGAAUCUUUAUGCUUUUUGGCUGGACUGGCCUGUCUAUUCUCAGGGCAUUUCUACUGGUGUUAAAGGCUUUGAUAAAACAAUGACUAAGGAGAGAAUUUAACAAGUACAAUCUUAAAUCGUCUACUGGCAACAGGAUCAGGGGUAGAUAAUGAAGGCUAUACCUGGUUAUUUCUUGGUGAAGUUGGGAGGAGAUUAUGGACUUGGCUUGGUUCAGAAAAUACAGUUCCUCCCACCACAAGCAUACCAUUUUGAAACACACUGAGCAAAGUACAUUUGAUAUAUGUUCAUUAUUAAGGCUAAAACAUAGCCAUAAGAUGCAACUUAUAAACUGUUUGACAAACAUAGUCUUUAAAUGUUCUAUUUCAAAUAACUUUUUUGUAAUUAUCAGUUCAGAACUCUUUCCUACUGAUACAGAGCAUUGUUUUGAGCAUUGGGAAAACAUUUUUUGAGAAGUGAAGAAAUGACUAUUUAAAAUAUAGAGUACCACUGACCAACCAACACACAUGACUAAAUCACUAUCUACACUGUUGAAUCAAGGCUCUACCAGAGACCAUGCAGGCAACCAGAAAUUCAGGAAUGCCAUUACAAGCCUAACUCUCCUACUCUUCACUUUGGAGGUUCUCAUCCAGCUUAUCCCUAGUUAUCCAUAUUCUCUUCACAGUAUCCAAGUCUCCAACAGUGGCAUAGACUGGCUGUACUAACAGAGACCACAGUGGCCUCCAGAAUUUCUCAUAGGCUAUCAAACAAUGGACCUCCCAAACUGUCCCUGUGUCCACUUUACAAGUUCUAUCUCCUAUCCCUGCCAUAUCACACUCUGCUAAAUUCACAAAUCUCUGUGAGAGAUUCCCUGCUCUACCUGUAGGAGAUUCCAGGCUACCAGAGACAGUAUGGAGCACACCCAAAGUCCAGGCAGGAAGACUGGCCAGGUUCUUACUCCACUUUCUCAGUGCUCCCACCAUCACAUCUACAACCAAACACCUCCAUGUCUGUGUCAGCAUUUACAAGUUUUGAACUUGAAUGAAGAACCUAUUCUGUACAAGAGGCCAUGCCAGCCCUAAGAAAUCUGGCCUCCAACUAGAGUAGUGAUUGGCUAAACUACGAGAAGCCACACCAUUCAUAUGUCCAGAAAGAAAACGGAAUGGAAAGAACAAAACACCCAUAAAAAUUUAACUCAAAAGUGGUACCUACACCUAUAAUAACCACAACCCAAAUGCCUUGACACAAGUGUUAAAAAAAAAGAGAAAACUUCAAAAUUGGUCAAGGCAAAAUGUCAUAGCCUAAAAACCACACGCAUAGCACAAGCUCUUCAUAUUGUAUCAAUUUGAAGCACAAAGAAGAUAUUUAAACCAAUUUUAUAAAGACAAAUGAAUGAUAUCCCCAAAGGAAGAACAUAGAUACCUUAAAGAAACCUGCCUCCAUCUGGGCUCAGAACUGGGGCUGUCCCACAGCCCUUAGACCCAACCCUGCCCACAGAGAGCUGGUCUUCCAGGAGCACUCUUACUCCUAAGGACACACCCUGCAAGUAGGUGGACACUUUCUCUCCACAGACUAUUCAAAGAAAGGCACAGCAGGAGCAGGCAGGGCCCAGCAACCACAAAGCAGACUGAGACAAGACCCAUCCUGUCUCCAUCUGUGCCCUGAGCUGAAGCUGGCCCACAGUACUUCAGACACAAAUCCUGCCAACAGAGAGCUGGUCCUCCAAGAGUGGUAUCUCUCCUAAACCCAAAACUGGAUCCCCUCUUUUGCUCAACCGACUGUCAAAAGAGAGACCACCAGGACAACUCAGGACUCAGGAGCCAUAGGAGUCAAGUCAGAGACAGUAAAACCAGCUAACACCAGAGAUAACCAGAUGGUGAAAGGCAAUGCAAUACACUAAGCAGCAGAAACCAAGAUGACUUGGCAUCAUCAGAACCCAGGUCCCACAGCACAGCAAGCCCUGGAUAACCCAACAGCCUGUAAAAAGAAUAUUUUGACAUAAAAUUAAAACGCAUGAUAUGGUUAGAGAACUUUAAAAAGGAUAUAAAUUACUCCUUUAAGGAAAUACAGUGCAAUGAGACUUCUAAACAGAAUGUCCAUGUCUGCCCACAUCUGUGCUGAUCCCUGGUUCAAGGGAAAAGUGCACAGUACCUCUGGACACAGGGAUAAAGGAACAGUCAGAUGCCUAUUACUGUGGUUCUGGUCUGCACCCAGAAAUGAACUAAACCAGCCAAACAGCUCCCAUCACCCAAUACCCAUGGAGAAGAUAGCUCAAUCCAUAGAAGUGUGGAUACUCCUAAGAAGUCAGAGAAGACUACCCUCUGCCCACAUUGCAGACACAAGACAGAAUAGUCUAUUGACAACUGUGCCACCUGGGUGCAAGAACCUAAGAGCAAUCAGGGGCAGGACCCUUCUGAUUCCUGCCUGUGCCUAGAGCUGAAAGAUAGUCACCAGGAUUGCAUGCACACCUGAAAUCAGAGAAUGUGUGCUCAGAAAAGACUGAAAGAAAACAGGAAAACAGUUCUACAGGAAUGCUGACACAGAGGCCUACAGGAGAGUGUCAAUGCACUGUCAGAAACAGCAAGACAAGCAAACACUAGAGACAACCCAAUGGCUAGAGGCGAGCAUAGGGACCUAAGCAACAGAAACCAAGAGUAGGCAAUCAUCAGAGCCCAGUUCUCCCAACAAAGAAAAUCCUGGAUAUCCAAACACAUUGGAAAAGCAAGAUUUUGAUUUAAAAUCACAUUUUAUGAGCAUGAUGGAGGACUUUAAGAAGAACAUAAAGAACUCCCUUGGAGAAAUGCAGGGAAACAAAGAAAAACAAAUAUAACCCCUUAGAGAGGAAACACAAAAACCACUGAAAGAAUUACAGGAAAACACAGCUAAACCAAUAAAGGAAUUGUACAAAACUGUUCAGGAUUUCAAAAUGGAAAUAGAAACA